rnacentral:lncRNA from 1 species
GUAGUAGGUGGAGAACAAUUGAGAAUAACUGCUUGGCCUCUGUGGGUCCUUGAGGUUUUCUUUCUUUUUUUAAAAAGUUGAGAUAUUAUCAGUGGUAGGCUGGUAAAAUGUCCCUAAAAGAAAAAAAGCCCUGAUUUGUAGCAUUUGCUGAUUCCUACCUUUACUAUGGCUGAUUUCAAGUUACCAAGAGGCGAUGAACAUGGAGUUGGAAAGAGAAGCACAGAAUUGGUAUUAGUAGAUUAUUCCUUUUUAUUGCUAAGUAGUAUUUCAUUGCAUUAACAUGCCACAGUUUGUCCAUUCACCAGACAUUUGAGUUGUUUUCAACUUUUGACUGUGACAAAUAAAGAUGCCAAGAAUAUAUUUGUACAAAAAUCCUUUCCCUUUCUUUUGCUUGGGGCGGGGGUAUGUAAGUGCUUAAGACUGAAAUUGUAGGAUCUAAGUUUCCCUAUGUUUCGGAAAAUUUCAUUUUCCAAGCUUUAGGCUCAUUCACUUAUCUCCUUUCUUUUUGGGGCUGGGAUGGGGGGACAAUAGUUAGAAACUUUCAUUAUAAGAACAAAAAUAACACUAAUUGCUUACCUUUGUAAGCAGCUAUUUAUAUAUUUUAAAAAGUACUCUCAUGUUAUUUCUUUGUAUUCAUGUCUCACAACAACCAUAUCAGGUAGUUGAAGUAGAGAGUCUCAUUUUAUUGAAAAGAAAAGAAAAGCAAGGUUCUGAGGUAGACUUAUUCCUGGUUCUUAGGGAGCUAAGAAGUAUAAUAGCAAAGCCAAAUGAGGGAAGGAGGGAAUAAAUAGGAAGCCUUGCGUGUGCUGGUGGAAGCACAGAUGGGGGCUGCUGUUCUGGGAAGCAAUCUGGCAUUACUUAAGCAAAUUGACUAGUUAUCUACUCUGUGACCCAGCAAUUCCGUUCCUACAGGUGGACACAGGAAUGUGUACCAGAGGUCCCCAAGAGGACAUGUCCAAGGUUGUUUACUUCUGUUAUUAGUGGUGGAGGGGAAUGGGAGAGUCUUGGUGGAUUGAAAAGCUGCUGUGGGGUGCGAGGGGUAUGAAAUGGCAUAGUUUAGGUUGGUGCGGAUGUCCACUUAAGUCUCCAUGGAGACUUAAGUCUGUCUCAAUGUGUAUAACUGAUCAGCCAGAAAUUAUUCAGAUGUUUGAAAAAUCAGUGUAAUGAGUUGCUCUCUGAGUUGGGAAAUUUGGGUUCAGCCUAUCAUUCAAAAUGUAUGUACACUUGGCAAAGUCACUUCUGCAGAGUUUCCUCCCAACUGAUGGUGACAGUCAGUCUGUCUUCUAUAGUGUUAUAGUACUUCAUGUAUAUUUUGCAGUCAUGGCAUUUCACACAGCUUAUUGGAACUAUUUAAUUACUGUUUCUUCCCUAACUAACUGGACAAUGGACUUCUAGAGGAUUGGCAAACAUAAAAAAUCUUUAUAAUGUUGAGGAUAUGGGCACUUCCAAAUAUUGCUGAUUUGAGCAUCAAUUGGUACAACUUUUUUGGUGGAAAGCUUAGGCAAAUGGUUAAUCUCUUAAAAUAAAAACAUGCUUAUUGUUUGUUACAGCAAACCACUUUGGGGAACUCCUGCAAUAGAAAUGAAAAUAUUAAUAUGUAAGGAUAUAUUAAUAUUUACAAGGAUGCUUAUUACAACAGUGUUUGUAAAGCAAAAAGACCAGAAACAAACUAAAUUUACCUUUAUGGGACUGGUUGAAUAUAUUUAUGGUUUCUUCAUUAUAUGGAAAGUGAUAAUUUAAAAGAAGGGUCUUAGAUACUUUAUGCUGAUUCUAUGAAUUCAUUUCUUAUGUAAAAUCUUGGAUUUAUGUUUAUCCCACCACCAGAUAUUAUGUGUGUCUGAUCUCUAAAUUACUGUGUUUCUUUGUUGGGAAAGGAUAUAGAGUACAAAUUAUUUGUUUCUGUGUUUUAUAUCAUUUGUUCUCCAUCUGUGAGGGUAAAAUCACCAGCUUACAGAUAAUGGCCUCAUUUCCAUUUCUUCCCUAGCUUAGUGUGGCAAAGUACUGUUAGUAAGUAGGGCAGUCUGAGCGGAUUUGGGCAGCUGGGAUGGAAUUUGGACUUCUGUGACAAAGGACCAGUAGAAGCCUAGCAGGAUCUAGCAUUUGAAAGGAGUAUCAUGUAAGGAAAAGCUAGUAGUGUGGUGGUGGUUUUUCUUUCUUUUUCUUUUCUUUUCUUUUCUUUUUUUUUUUUUUUGGGUAGUUGAGAAAGGAUUAGUUUGGGAUUCAGUCUCGAGGUGAGGUUGUGAGAAACAGCUUUGGAAUUUGAGAGUCUCUGGAGAUCAAACUUAAUGCUUCAAUGAAAAAGCCAGUGCUUUUAUCGUUCAUAAAUAAUUUUAAAUCUUCCAUAACCAUCUGCAC